CAGAAGAGAUAAGGUGUUGCCCCAUAGGAAUAGUUACAUCUCAACUCCAGUGAGGCUCCUUCAGAGACAGUGAUGUGGAUGUCAGGCUGGGUCACUGACUGGGCUCUGGCAGUUUCAGGACAAAAUGUAUCCCCAGCAGUGGGAUAAGCUCCAGGAGCAUGGCUGAACAAGGGAAACACUGCAGGCUCUUUUCUGCAAGAUCUCCAGAGAACAGGAAGGAAAGUGUCUGAAGAGACCAAGACCAAGAGGUGUGAGGAAGUUUCGCUGGAGAAACUCCUUGCUUAUUUAAAACUACAAAAGCUGCUGAGAUGAAUCUGGUUGCUUUUUAAACCUCUAAUUCUUGUCAC
rnacentral:lncRNA from 1 species